rnacentral:rRNA from 1 species
GAUGAACGCUGGCGGCGUGCCUAAUACAUGCAAGUCGAGCGAACAGACGAGGAGCUUGCUCCUCUGACGUUAGCGGCGGACGGGUGAGUAACACGUGGAUAACCUACCUAUAAGACUGGGAUAACUUCGGGAAACCGGAGCUAAUACCGGAUAAUAUAUUGAACCGCAAGGUUCAAUAGUGAAAGACGGUUUUGCUGUCACUUAUAGAUGGAUCCGCGCCGCAUUAGCUAGUUGGUAAGGUAACGGCUUACCAAGGCAACGAUGCGUAGCCGACCUGAGAGGGUGAUCGGCCACACUGGAACUGAGACACGGUCCAGACUCCUACGGGAGGCAGCAGUAGGGAAUCUUCCGCAAUGGGCGAAAGCGUGACGGAGCAACGCCGCGUGAGUGAUGAAGGUCUUCGGAUCGUAAAACUCUGUUAUUAGGGAAGAACAAAUGUGUAAGUAACUAUGCACGUCUUGACGGUACCUAAUCAGAAAGCCACGGCUAACUACGUG